ensembl:processed_transcript Gm20675 predicted gene 20675
CGCGUUGAUGGUGUACCCUAACUCCAGCUGGGCAAGGCCUCAGGUUCCUCGGUGAAGAGUGUGGACCAGCCGAUGAGCCUCAGACGUGUGGAUGAAACGGCUGGCUUUUGUUUAGUUUUGUUUUAACCUCCCCAAGGAGACUUUGAUCAGCUCCACCUCGAAAAUGUUCGCGAAAGAUGCGGAGAGCCUGAGGGGCUGCGGGGCAGCAACCGGCUCCGGCCUAGCCCGGCCCGCCGGCCCCCAGAGGCUCCAGGUUAAAGGGCAGAGCCAAGGUCGCUGACGCCUCUUUUCUCACCAGUAACAGCUGCCGCCCAAAUUAUACCCCUCAGGAAGCGAA